rnacentral:lncRNA from 1 species
CCUAAACCUCUCGUUGUGGUAGAGCCCUAAAAAAGUAGAGUGGAAACGGAGGGGAGGAAGCGGCUAUGGCGACGGCAGCUCGUUCCAUCGCUUCAAAGCUCACGCGCCCGGCAUCCUCGCCUCACCAGAUCGUCCCACGCCGGAUGAUGUCCGCGGGAGGUAUGGGCAAAAUCUUUGAGAACAUCUAGAGCGAGCGAUUUGUUCGCUUUUCCAGGGCACGACGAUGUGCACAGAGUGAAUUGGUACCAGGCGCCGCUCAGCCCCAUGUCUUGGAAGGAGCACCAAGUAAGAAAUCGUGAUUUCCCCUUUCCAUCGGUCGAUCGAGCCAUUUCUUUUCUUUCCUCUUCUUAGAUUGUGAUUGGAGUGAUCUUUGGAUGGGGAGUUGUGGGCUACAGUGGAUACAAGUUUUUCACCAGGAAGAAGUAAGCUUUGUGGAGGUGGAGUUUGGAGUUUCUUUUUUUCUUUGUUCCAUCUCUUGGAGAAUAACGAGUAGACAUGAAACUCUGGAGAACGAUUUCCACGAAGAACUCCCAAGAGCGUUUUCGUUUAGCCAGUGUUGCACUGCCAUUCUCGGCUAUCGAUUUCUUUGAGCAGUGCUUUUUCCAGCUCGAGCUCAUGAAUGAUCUCGUCAUAUAUCUUGUCUUCUUUAUCACCUGAGUGAGCAUCACAAAGAGCUCAGCGGAUAGAAAUCAUACCGACGAUUACUCCCACAGAUUUUAUAUACUUUUGGUUGAUGAGAACUUGAGAGGAUCAAUCACCUGCUGGAGUUUGGAUCGUCACAAUAAACCCCUUUUGCCUUAGCUCGAUCUCAGCAGCGUCUCGGUUGUAAGUCUCAACUUCGAAACUCAGCGGCUCGGGUGGCGCAUCUCCCUGUAUAACCAAGAACGUUUAGCAAGCUUCCCAAAACGAAACGAAAAGUGUAAGAACCUGUUCGUAUCGAUCAUAAGGAAGCACUGUUGGAUCCAAACGCCAUCCAGAAACUCCUUGUUUGUACACAUAGCACCUAGAAAGAGCAUGACAAGCUACUUCUUUUUCUAUUCCUCUAUUGAUUUUACCUUGUUAUGCCAGCAUCCGAGCACAACUGGGCCACCCACAUUGCUCGCUUCGACGUCCUGCCUAAGCACAAGAAUGACAAAUGAUGAGGAAAAAGAGUUGUAAAGCUAAAGUGGAGACUCACUGUAUAGAAUCACCACGUCGUUCUCCUCAAUCUUUGGAAAAUGAUGAUUGUUCUCCCAAUCGCUCGCACUCAUAGCCAAGCCUUUAGGCCAUUCUUCCACUGCAAGUUCCAGCUGUUUAGAAGAUUACAGUGAGUACGAAUUUGGUACCUGGAAUGUGUAAAGAGCCAGGAAUGUGGCCGUAGAGGGACCUCUCGUCAUAUCUGCGAACGUCUAUCAACAGAGGCCGGAUGCCUGGCUGUUGCUCUUUUGCGUUAAAUCCCGCCUCCUGCAGUACGAAUGCAACAGCAUCCCUGGAUCACCUACACAGAUGAGGUCUUGCAUGACUCACCAAGCGGCAAGAAAGCAUCCAAACCUUCCCAGAAAAUUGAUGUAGGAACUUCCGGCAUCGGACAUGUACGCCUGGAUUCCUCCAGAAAGAACACAGCAUCUAUAAAUGCCGACGAGUAAGUCGUGACACAAAGAAUAACGUUUGUCUCUCACCCGUUAAAGCCAAGCUCAGCAGCAACAGUAGCAGCCCGUUGUGCUCGCUGUCCUCUCGUCGAAACAAAAACCAGAAUAGCGGUUCUCGUCGGUUGCUUAGCUGCUGGAAACCGGCUAUCCCAUACGCUUUCUACGAGUUGUAAGCAGGCUCUCACUUCACUUUCUGCAUUGCUAGAACGUCAAUUUCAGAUGUAAAAGCCCGAAAAACAACACCGACAGAAGCCAACAGUGAAACAAGGGACAAGAAACAUCACGAGCAAUAAAGAAAAGGAACACAAACAAAGAAAGUAAGAACAAAACAACCAAACGUAAGAAACACAAAGAAAGAAAGAACAAGCAAGCAAAACAAACAGUGGAAAACAAACAAGAACAAAAGGUGGAAAGAAGUACCUGGAAUGUUGAUCACGUACUCGAGCGAGAAGGCGCUAGCACGAACAGCAUCCGGAUGCCUCACGUCGAUGAGCAAGAAGGGCACGCUAUCCAGCUCCGCGAGCUUCCUCACCGCCUUGGGACUUAGCAUCGAGUAGAGCGGAGAAUCCACAGGUCUGAACGGAAGGCUAUUGAUCCUCGCCUCGCUCACCCCUUGUCCAUCUCUAAGCAUCUGUCGCCGCCGAGCCAAGACCCUGCGAAGCUGCCUCACGCUCCACGCAACCACGGCGAUCUGGAGCAAGAACGUGAUGGAGCCGCCCACGUAGUGGAUCAAAAGCCGUCCCCGUUCCUCGCCAUUCUCGCCAUUCUCCCCAUUCUCCCCAUUCUGGGAAGGCGAUGGAGCUAGAGCUGCUGGAACCCCAGCGAUUCCAGAUAUUUCGGGGAUUCUUGGCUCGAUUGGCGCUGGCUCCGCCCCAAGAUUGCCGAAAUCCAGGCUGAGCGUGCUGUCCAUAAGCUCUGAGGGCAUCGUCGGUCGAUCCCAGCGCUCGCCAUAGCUGCCGCUGCCUCCGCCAUCACCGCCGCUGCCUAAUCCUACUCCUGCUACCGAGAAUGACAGACCUUGCCGUGGAUUCGAGGAUGGCGAUGGCGGCUGUGACGAUGGGAGCGCCGCCGCAAGCUUCUCCAGGUCGGCAACCAUGUCCUCCAUUGGCGACGAAGCCAUAGCUGGGACGAGCCCUAAAGUAAUAAAAGAAGGGAAAAAUGCCAAACCCAAAAUGUUUGGAUUAGACCAAAUAGAAUAUGCUUCCAAUUUAAAAGCUCUUAUACCACCUCCAAGGAGUGUAAACCUUUCCCUGGACAUAACAAACCAUCUAUUAAGUUUGAGUCUUGAGUAGCAAUGUACUCUCGAAACUAUCCUCCAGACAGUAGCAACUGGAGGGUUCUCAAUCUCAGUGGCAAACUGAUCCAAACGGUAUUGAGCUCGAAAUGCUAGCCCUGGGAAUCUCUCAUCGUAGGGUGUAUACACUCCUUGGAGGUGGUUCCCAGAUUCUUGGAUCGCGUCCCAUGGCCAAAGUAAACAACGCAGUGCCUUUGGGAAUGUGAUAGCCGCGGAUCUUGCAAGAUUCGUCAGAGCUGCGAGGGAUGAGGAGUGGACCUGGGGGGCAAAUUCUCAGAGUUUCUGUACCUUCGGGGCAUUGGUGAGGAGAGCUAGUAUGAUAAGUGUAGUUCGCGGUGGCUUGUAGUUGUGAUCACAACCCCAGAGUUUUAGAGAAAUCCCAGAAGAACUCAACCUUGCCGAAGAUCCACUUUUCUGCCAAACGCUUGUGCUCAUGCUCACGGACGAAGACAUCAUCCAGAUUCCAAGGUAAGCUUUCAAGCUUUCGAGGCCUGGGCUCACGAGUCAGAGCAAUCAAUAGCCUACCUUCCAGGCCUGUGAGUUAGCGGUCUUAGGCUCUUGACCAAGUUUAGAGCUCUCCGUCCUUUAGAAAUGCCGGGGUUGGGGACAUCGCAUUGGAUCCUUGUUAUGCCAGUAUCCGAGCACAACUGGGCCACCCUCAUUGCAUGCCUUCAAACAAGAAUGAAAUGUGAAUCUCAAAGAAGAAACUUAAAAGAGUUAUACAAGCUGAAGUGGAGACUUACUGAAUGGAAUCACCUAAUCGCUCGCACUCAUAACCAAGACUUCCAAAGUUAGAGAAGUAGAAAUUUGGUACCUAUGGAAAAGCCUUAGAAAUCAUUACUGAGUGAAAGGCGUGAUCGAUGCUCGUCUUAAAUCCUCGAUGCUGGUAUGUUGACCAACGUUGACUAAGUCUGGGGAGCUUUCCCCUGAAUGGUCAGAACCGAGAAAUCGCCAACGCAGUAGUGAUGGAUCGUCUUCCUUGGGUCUAGAGCCACGCCAUUAUAGCAAAGCUGCCACUUCUUCUCGUUUGAUACAAGCUCAUGUGCUACCUUUCUCUUGAUCGCUCUCACGCUCGCGUUGCUUGGAAACAUCGCUGUGUACGAGCUCCCUGUCGUGGGCGAGACCACCGUGAUCCAUAGCUGUGUCUCCGGCGAUGAUCUAGAUUGAUUCCGAGCUCAGGAAACACUUAGAGAGUAUUCUAGAGUUUUCCGUACCUUUUGGAUCUCUUGUUCUUGCGAGAGAGCUGAUGCUGAUUUCGCUGAUGCUCGCAUUCUUCCUCGCUGGUGGAAUCUUGAUCGCUCGAGGAAGUGGGUAUGUCGAAACAGUAGCUACAUUUCCUCUUGAUCUUCAUGUCGAGAAGACGCAUCUCUCUCCUGAAACUUUGGAGCAGAUCGAGCUUGUCCAGUACGACGCUCUCAAGCUUUAACUCGAAGAGUUUAGCGCAGUCCACUUUGGCCAAGAGUUCCCGGAGCUUCUCCCUGUCGAAGUCCUCGAUGCUGGUCAUUAUAAACCUGUUGAUCUCCUGGCAGAGAAUGUCGUGACCAGUCGAUCGAUCGGAGAUGAAGCCGGCGACCUCCAAGAACUCGUCGAGAUUCAUCUGCCCUGGACACGACUCUUGCAAGUAGACUUCCAUGAAGUGGACGGCGAGCCUUGUGUAUUCUGGCUGAUGCCUCGCAAAGUUUCUAGCGAGAGAUAGAGCCGAGAUGGAAUCAGGAAAACCAGUUCUUCGACUCUGAUCGCACGGAAGGAGAUUCCCAAAGAAGUCGAUCUGCAAGGCCUUGAUCAAGUUGCGGUCGAUCUUCUUCAGUCGUGAACUAGAAGCAGCCAGGAAAUCCAAAAGCGCAAGAGCUGGAAAGAUGGCAAGCAAGCCGUCGAGUGUGUCGUCCACAUUGCCUCGAUCAGGGAGUUUCUUCAUGUGUUCUUUAUGGAGAUCUACUCUUUCUUGAAAAUGCUUGAGCAGAAACUCGGAGAAAAGCCCGGCAUUGCGGCAAAUCUGGAGCCUUUGCACACAUCCAACCUUGAAGAUGAGCUUGUGUAGAGCAGUGACGAAGGACUUCGCGACCUCCCAGAGAACAAAGGCACCAUACGGGAGGACUUUUUUCUCGAAAAAGCAGGACAGGAACAAGGAGAGAAGCUCGCUCGAUAGAUGAAACAUCACCUUCUCGAAAACCUUGUCGAGCGAUUCCUCCAGCAUCGAAAGAAAUCUCAAAGCAUCCGAGAAGAAGAGCGAUACCUCGGCGUGGGUGGACAAAUCUGUCAAUGUAGGCAGGGCCUUGUCGAGGAGCUUGGCAAUGGCGUCGCCAUCUCUAGACUCGCGAAUCCAUAGCAGGUCACACCAUCGAUCUAGGAGUGGGAUCUCCAAGAAGCUGGAGGCGGCACGAAGAACUGCAACGUUGGACCCGUCCACCCGAUUGCCACGCUCUUGCAAGGCCUUGAGAAGUCUAUCAAAGCCAUCCGAGCCUCCUGGGAAGUUUGGAAGAUCCACAAGCAGGCGACUGCCUCCUCCAGCAUCCAGUGCACAUUUGCAGAUCUUUUGGAAGAAUUCAGCUGCUUCCAAGUUGAACUUCUCAUCGACAAAUCGGUCGCCUGCCACGAAGAUCACUACUUCCGGGGCCAUCUAUAUAAGAGCUGGGAAGGGUAAAAGAAUGACAUUAAAGUGAAACCAUUUUAGAAUAUUCUCUUCUUAAAGAAGGGUUUAUUUCUAUAAUUACAAUAAAUCAAUGACAUUUCUCAAGAAUAUAAUUAACAAGUAGAUAGAAAGUUUUGAGCCAUUUGAGCAUCAACAACACUGAUAAAAAUAAAUUAUAUUAAAAAUAAAAUAAAUAAUUUAAAUUAUUUUUAGAAAAAUAUUUUAUUACACUUAGAUAAAUUUUAACAUGUAAUUAUUUAUUAUAUUACUAUUCAGCUAUCAUUUCAUACUACACUGUUUAAAAUUUUAUUUACAAUAAAAGGGUUUAUAGUUUUUUAAAUGUGACACUUUGAUGUUAUAUAUUACACACUUUUUUAAAAAUUUGUACUUAGAGUAUUCAAAACAUAACUAACUUUAUAUUUUUUAUAAAUUAAUAAAAUAUUAGAAAUGAUUGUAAAAUCUUCACCUUUUUCUUAUAGUAUUAUAACUCUCUAUAUACUAAGCUUAUUUAGGUUUAAUUAAAUCUAAUAUUUACUAAAGCUUUUACUUCUUAAUACACAGAUUGAAAUUUACACUGUUGCCACAUCAGCUGCUCACCAAUUUGUUGAUAAAAUCUAAUACUUUUAACUAAUGCCACAUAUGCCAAUCUCAACAAACUUUGCACAACAAUUCCAUGAUGAACAGAUGAGUGUUUUUGUAAGCUAUAAUCAAUGUUGUUGUCUUCCAACCUCUUGACACAAAGUUUAACAAAAUCUAAAGCAACAUCUAACAACUUAAAAGGAGCAUUCAAAGUACGUACUUCCAGGGGAUAGUAUGCAUAGAGACAUAGUGCAUCAACAACUAGCUCAUGAAAGAAAAUGCAAAACUCCACAAUGAAAUCCACACUCUCAAAGCAAAGUAGCUUAUAGUAAUGGAAGAUGAUAAUAAAAGUGAGUAUGACAAGGAGAACAAUGAUGAUGAGGAGUUUCAUUAGCAACUCAAUAAGUUCAAGGUUAAACUCAUAAGAACUCUAGUACCAAUAAAGCCAACUAACUAAUGGAAUAGUAGGAGCCUCGAGACAAAGCUUUAUUUAGUUAUAGGAGAAUGAAACAUAGCUAAACAACCAUGCAUUUAGGCAUUUUUCUUAUAGUUAGGAUUAUGACCUUGACACUCAAGGUUACAAUCUUGAUAAUCAAGAUUCAAAAAGAAAUGACAAUUACCACUAUAUAAGAAUAGUUAUGUGGGAGAGUUAACACUCAAUCCCUACCCCUGUCUCUUUUGUACUUUAGCUUUCCAUUAUCAAUGUACAUCCACAUGCUCAAAAUUUAGAGUACUUAAGCAAUGCCAAAUUUAUCCUUACUCACGAUCUUGAUAAAAACCUUUAUAAGGAUUGAAAGACUUGAAUCACUUUUCUUUUUCACUUUCUGUAUGUUUAUUUGUGUUUAGCUACAACAAAGCAUAAGAUUAAGUCAAGCAAGUGCAACAUACAAGCAAUUCACAUAAAGUUUCCAAAAAAAAAAUUAAAAGUACUACUAACCACAAAUGCUCAUCAGGAUUACUCCCCACAAAAUAAAGAAGGUCAUCUUCAAGGUAAUAUAAAAAAUAUACAUUGUUAAAAUAGUAAAUAAUUAGCAAAUGAUGCAAAAUUCUCAAACCCAUCAUAAAAUAUCUGAAUCAACAACUCAACCUUUUGAGCCUUAUAAACCUCGUUAACAGAAAUGAAAUAAAGAAUAAAGAUUAACUUUGUUGCACGAUGUAAUAAUAAAUGGCAACAUAUGGCAAUUGGCUAAGAAAUAGAGUCUAGAGAGAAUAAUAAUUAUUAUAAAAUGAACUUGAAAAGUAAAUAUUAGAUGAAUUGGUGCUGACUGAACCUUUCAAUAAUACUCUCAAAAGAAAUAUAGAAGGGUCAUUAUCUUAUCUGCACAAAGACCUUCUACUACUUAUUUAACACUUGAUUAAAGUUAAAAAUUAUUACAUUCUUUUAUACUCAUUUCAAUAUAUUCCAUUUAUCACCUAUAGUAAAUUAUUUGUCACAUAGCUUUGGAAAUAACACCUUUAUAGGACAAAAAUGUAUAAUAAGUAAAACAAUUAUAUAAAUUUACAAUUUUAAAAAGCUUUUAUUUUAUAACAAAAUUCUAUGACAUGCAAGAACAUAUAAAAUUCUUAUUUAUAAUUUUAUACUGGCAUCAAUUCCAUAUAUGAGGCUUUUAUAAUAAUUUCAACAUUAUAGCACAAUCAUAUUGUAGCACACCUCUAUUAUUAAGUUAUAACUCAAAAACAUUUUAUAAGGCAGGAGAAAUUGUAAAUUGCUAGCAAAUAAUUGUAGAAAAAAUGGAUAUAUAAAUUUACUUCAUUCACAAUGAAUAGUUAUGAUAAGAGUUAGGUUAGGGUUAGGGCAACUAUACAAUAUUUAGAAUUUAAAAUUUAAACUUAAAAACUAAGUAAUAACAAAAUUUAAAUUUAACUAUUUUAAAAUAAAAAACAUAAUUAAAAACUAAGACAAAUGCAAUAUAAUAUACUUAAAAAAAUUAUAUUAUUAAAAAAUAAAAAUUAUAAAUAAGUCAAAUUUAAAUUUAAAUUACUUAAAUUUCAUAUGCAAUAGGCUUAGCUAUGGCCUUUUAUAAAUUAUACAAAAAAAAUGAGCUUAACACUGAUUAGCCUGUUAAAAGAAAAUUGCUUGCUAUUACAUUUUUUUAAAAAAAAUAUAAUUUAAAUCAAACUUUAUAAUUUAGUUAUUUAUAUGAAAUAUGACCUAUUUUACAUAAAAUAUUAUUGAUAUUAUUGUUUAACAAUUAUAUUUAUUAUGAUUAUUAAAAAGGUAAUCUAUUUUAAUAAUUAUAAGUAAUUUUUAAUCUAUAUAUCAGAAGGAUAAAGAAAUUAAAUUUAGUUAUAUAAUUAUUUAAUAUUAAGUUUUUGGCUAGUUUUUUAUAUAAUUUUAAAAAAAUUUAUUUAGGAGACAAAGCUAAAUUGUAUAAAAUAUUUUGGAAUUAUUUUAAUGUAGUAUUCGCAAAUGGUAUAAUUUACAAUGAUAUUUAAAUUUUCUUAAGCAAAUUAAAAAUCUUAAAUAAAAAUUGUGGUUAAUAUCACAAGGUUUUAUAAAAAUAUUUAUUUUUUUUAAACACUUUUUAAAUAAUAAAAUUUUAUAGGUAUAUAAUUUUACAUUGCAUGAAGUGAUAGCAUGUUAUAAUAAUAUAAACAAUAUAAAAAUAAAUUAUUAUUUUUAUUUUUAAGUUUUUUUGGAUUUUUUAUUGUAUGUACAAUUAAUAUACCUACACCAAUGUUUUAAACUAUUUAUAAUAAAUCUCAAAUAUCAAACUUUCCAACAAUUUUUUACCUAUUUAUUUACCUUAACAUAAUAAAGCUUUUUUAACUAUAUUUUUAUGUUAUUUUUAAUUAUAAAUAAAUAAAAAUAUUUUAUAUACCAUAAAAUACUGAUAUUUUUACUUUUAUUUAUUUUUAUACCUAAAUGUUUUUUACUGAAUUUUUAUUUUUAUUUUUAAGUGAUACAUUAAAAGUAAUAAAAUAAGUGCUAAAUAUUCACUAGGUAAAGUAAAAGAAGAUUAAAAAGAAAAAGUGCCAUAUUUAAUUCUAGAAAUAUUUAUUCUAAUAAGUAGAACAAAAUAUUUAUGUUUUUUUUAUUAUUUAAAGCAAGUAAAAUUUUACUUUUCUUUCCAAAAAGAAUAAUAUUUUUUUUAUUAGAUAAAUGUUUUUUUUUCCCUUCUUCUAUCUGUCAUCAUUUUUUAUUUCAAAGUUUUCUAUCAUUUGAUAGAUUCAUUUUGUCUACUAUAUCUUUUUUCCUUGUCGAUGGAAUUUGACGAAGUACAGGUGUUGGUGACCAAACAGCGUGUAUGUUUAUUCUAUUGCUAACGUGGCGGAGUCCUAUCCGCUAAUACUUUGCAUGGGUAAAUCGACGGUCCAGAUGCUAUCUAGAACCGACGGCAUUGGCGAGGCGCUUGCAUUGUCGAAGGUCAUAGAUUGGAGGGCUCGCUAGGAAGGAGGAGCUUGGGCGAAGGAGAGAGCUCCCGUUUCUUGGAUAUGGCAGCAGCGGCCAUGGCUCAAAAGGUUUUGGUGCCUUGUUCUUCGUCUUCGUCUUGCGGGAAAGCCCAGUUCUCUCCAAGCCGAGGUAGGAUCUUCUUUCGUUUUGGAAGGUUUUGGAUCGAAAGCUUUUGCUACAGUUCACACCCAUGCCAUCGCAUUUGGUGGAGAGUUGUCUCAGAGUUCUAGCAGGAAGAACAAGAGCCUAGCGCUAAAAGCUGUUGCGGUAAGUUCUAUCUCCUCUCCAUUUGCUUUCGUCGUCUCGGUCGAAAUUGCUAAAGAUUCUCAACGUUUCAUGCUCGCAAAGGGUGAAACAUCCGCUCCAGUUACUGCAAAGUCUGGGUGAGCUUCUUUCUUCCAUAGUUCUAAAAUCUUUUCUUUGCAAAGCUUGAUCAUAUCUUUUGUUUCCCAGGCACGAGAUCUUACUCUUCGAUGCUCUCCGCGAAGGUCUCGAGGAGGAGAUGGCGAGAGAUCCCACCGUGUGCGUCAUGGGAGAGGACGUCGGCCACUACGGAGGCUCCUACAAAGUCACCAAGGGGCUGGCCGAGAAGUUUGGCGACUUGCGCGUGCUGGACACGCCGAUUUGCGAGAACUCCUUCACGGGAAUGGGGAUCGGCGCUGCCAUGACGGGACUCCGGACAGUGGUAGAAGGCAUGAACAUGGGAUUCUUGCUCCUGGCCUACAACCAGAUCUCCAACAACGCUGGAAUGCUCCACUAUACGUCGGGUGGUCAGUUUAAGAUCCCGGUGGUGAUCCGCGGCCCCGGUGGGGUUGGAAAGCAGCUUGGAGCCGAGCACUCGCAGCGUUUGGAGUCCUACUUCCAGUCAGUCCCGGGCUUGCAAAUGGUGGCGUGCUCCACUCCAUACAACGCGAAGGGACUGAUGAAGGCCGCGAUCCGGAGUGACAACCCGGUGAUCCUCUACGAGCACGUCUUCUCUACAUCUCAAGGAGAGNNNNNNNNNNNNNNNNNNNNNNNNNNNNNNNNNNNNNNNNNNNNNNNNNNNNNNNNNNNNNNNNNNNNNNNNNNNNNNNNNNNNNNNNNNNNNNNNNNNNGAGGGUAUGAUCCGGAGAUCAUCGACAUCAGGUCGCUCAAGCCUUUUGAUCUUCUUCACGAUUGGGAACUCGAUCAAGAAGACGCACAAGGUUCUCAUCGUGGAGGAGUGCAUGAGAACUGGCGGGAUUGGAGCCAGCUUGAGAGCUGCGAUUCUUGACAACUUCUGGGACUUCCUCGAUGGCCGGCCCGAGUGUUUGUCGUCACAGGACGUCCCGACACCUUACGCUGCAACGCUGGAGGACGCGACGGUGGUACAACCGGCGCAGAUCAUUGUGAAAGUGGAGCAAAUGUUGCAAGGUCUCAUCUAAAACUCUGGAUGGGAUGGGACAAUCACGACAAAGACAAACGCUCUUAAAUUCCCCGAUAAGAGUAGGCGAGAGUGGAAGUUCUUCGAAUCCAUUCUUACAAUAAGGAAGAACAUUGCCAGUUUUUCGAGUUCAUACCUGGAAAAAAAAUUCUUUUUUAGUGGCUUCGAAAGGAUGGCAUGGAAACCAUUGAAGAACACGAGCCUUAUUAAAUAUCCAUUAUUUUUUUUAAGCUCAUAGCCAUUAAAAUAAACCUCUUUUCUGGAACCAUCCUCUCGCCGGACAAGCCAGGCAUGACUGGGUCUACUAAUCGCCUCUUCCUCUACAUUUGCCACAAGGAACGAUCUUCCCAUUGCCACAUAUGUUAUGCCUUUUCCUGGAGAGCAUGAAGUCCAUGACUUCCAUAGCCACGCUUAAGGAAAUAACUUACCGAUUCACUCGUGACACCGCUCUUGGAGCUUUCGAGCUCGCGAAAACUGCAAGUGGCUUACCCUACUCCCCCCACCCAGCUUGUAUUUAGAACUCGUGGAACCAAAGCAUACCUGAGAACAGCACUGGAGAAUGUGAUCAGGGCUUGACAAGGCUUUCAAAAACCCCACUUGAAAACAUGAUGUGCCCCCUAGGAAGGGGAACAGUCUAACUUGCCUUCAUUAGCCCAUGUCACUUACAAAUAUUCCGCCAUAUAGCCUAUUGUGUGGCAAGCUCUUUUAAGAAUGAGGAAGCACAAAGUUAACUGGAAUAACAAUGAUUUAGGCAGAAAUCUAAAGACUCAUGAGCCCCUCUGUCACACACACAUAAUUCCCAGCCAUCAGUCUCUCCAUAACAAGAUUCAAGAAACUUUAUUCUCUAAAACCUUUUCCCACAAGAAAAUGUGGCAUCUUAUUUCAACUUUAAACAUUGUUACACACUUAAAAGGGUGAGGUUUAGCCUAACCCUUCCCUGUGAUCACCUCCCUUUAUAUAAUUAGCUUUUUUUUGGUUUCCUCUAAAUCUUUGUUACACUCUAGCAUAGAUUCUCCUACUAUAACUCUUAAGGAAUAUUUUCACAUCUCUAUAUCACACCUUAAACACUCAAAACACAACUUUAAUUAUUUCUAUGGUUUGGAUGGUAUAAUGACAAAAUGGGAACUAUGGCCCAAGGAGGAGAAUUAGGAGGCUAGCCCAAAGAAGACAUCACAACCACUACACUAUAAGAUUAUUUAAAAAUGUUAUAUGAUCAAAUAGACUACUAGAGAUGUGUCUUUAUAUAUUAAGGUGUACAUAAAGUCUAAGUUAAUAAAAAUCAAUGGAUGCUCAUAAAUCCAAAUUUAUAAUAGCUACAAAAUCUUCACAGACAAGUGACUCUUUAAAAGUAGAGCAAAUAUAAAAAAGGAUGACCAAAACCAAGGCUGCCUCUUUCAUAUAAAUAGUAAAUAUAUUGUGAAUAUAUAUGUGACUGUUGGCCCUACCUUGACUUGGAUUUGUUUCACAUCAAAUACAUUCAAGUUCAUAGAGGUCAUAUUGUAAGAUUUAAUCCUCAAGUUAGCUUUGGUUUCAAUUUGAACGAAACAUUACUUCCUUGCUCAAAUUGAUCCUCUUUGGAAGCUUUAUUAGCUCCUCUUAUAAUAUGAAAAAUAACAUUUAGAUGACCAUAAUGGAAAUGUGAUAUAAGUUAUAUAUCUCCUAAAAGGUAAAUAUGUACUUUAUAGUAAUAAUAUUUAUUGUACAGAAUAUAUAAUUGUAUGAGUUAUUUUUACACCAAUUUUUUGUUUACUUAAGAAAAACCUGUAGGUGGACUUGGAUGGUAGUGGAAAUACCUUAUAAUUUAUAAACUUUCCUAAACACUUCCUAGUAUAUUCUUUUUUAUUUUACCAUGUAAUGGUUAAUAUGCAAUAAUAUUAAUAUUGAUUUAUAAAUUAUAAACAUGUUUAUAAUUAUUGAUCAAUUGGAUUAUUCAAAAAUACUAAAUAAGAAUGACACUACUAUUAAGUAAACAGGUUGCUGCAUGCAAUGUGAAGCAAAUUUUUUCCUUUCUAAUGUUGAUUUCUUAAUAUUAGUGUAUCUAUUAUUUAUUAAUACAAUUGAUUAAAUGGAAUUAAACCUGUUUGUAAUUUAUAAACACAAAAUUAGUCUUCAAUUAUUAGAUAAUAAAUUUAAUUACAAUGUGAGUGCUCAAGAUAUAGGAAUAGAUAUAUUAAUUAGGGUUUAGAUCCCUACUUAUAUACAAGAAAGGAUGGACUAAAUUCAAUCCCAAAUGGAUAUUAUAGUAUUAUAAUUAAUAUAUUAUCUAGCCAAGUAAUACAUGUAUAUACAUGUAUAUAUUUACAAAUUUUAUACCAUCUUUCCUUCCAAAAAAUGAAAAAGGUGAUGGCAAUAAGUCAGGUGAAACAUCUGGAGCAUUUGCUAGGCAACUAUAAACUAUUACAAGAAUUUGAAACUUUUACAAAAUCAUUAAUAAAGUUGUUAACAACCAUAACUAAAACAAAACCCAAAGUCAUGAUAUAAGCAUUAAUCUACUAUAAAAUCCCGAUAAAAUAAUUAAUUUGAUGAGGAAAUCUUUACAUAUUUAUUCCAAGGAUAUAUAAAUUUAUCCCAUAUUGGGUAAAAUCAUUAGCUAAAAAGACAACUUCUAAAUUAAAAUAAUUAUGCAAAAUUAAUGCACAAACACAAUGAGUACAUAUUCCACCCACUAACAGGAUAUAAAAGACCCUAAAUCAAACUCUAGAGCAUGCAAUAUUAAUUUAGACACAUAAACUACCUUAGAUUGCCAAAGAAAACAAAAAAGAGCAUUCCACUAUGCUUGAAUUCUUGUUUUGAAAAUUUUAUUGAUGUGUUAUUAUCCGCAUGUUAUGUUUUGAGCAUAUUUUUAAUUCCAUCAUUGUAAGUAUUUUUUUUUUUUCACCAUCAUAUACUGCUAGCUCAACUUCAAAUUCUCUUACAAAUAAUACGUGGGUUUUUAGGUCAAGAAGAAAGAAAAUCGUUUGAGGAUUUUUCUAUGGCAAGUAGCAGUGCUCUAUCGGCAGCAGCGACGCUCACAAAAUCCGCCAAUUCCUUCGCCUCCAGCAGCAGCUCCAGCUCCGCCUCCGCCCCCUCCAGGAAAUCCGGGAGCUUCAAAUGCGGUACGCGAUUCUUCGCCUCCAUUCCCUUCACCAAAACAUUGACAGAUUUUGGGUCGCAGGGAUGAGAAUCCGGGCCGAGAGCGACGGCAGCAAAGGAUCUACGACAAAAUCUCCCCCACCGGUGGAAUUGGAGCGCUCCCCGGCCGAUAAGCUCGUGGAUGGAAUGUCGUUCGGCCAGCUGUGCGAUGAAUUUCAGUGCAUAAGCAGCCCCUCCGUGGAAUCUACGUGCCGUCAGCUCGCGAGAGAUAUCCUGGAAAUUCGAGAUGGGAAUAGAGCUCUGGGAACUCUGGCCUACUUUGUCAAAUACAAGGUAAGCUCUUCCUUCUUUUUCUUUACACGACUAGUUAGAUCUCUUCUCUCUUUUCUAGGAUCCAUUGAGGUCUUUCCAAGGACGAUUGAAGUACAAUAGGCCGUCGUGGACGAGAACUGCCUUGGAGAAUCCAACAGUGGUACGUACGUGAUUGGUUUCUUUGCUUGCGAGCUUUUCAUAUUCAUGCAGUGGUGCUUUGGCGGUGGUUCCAUUUGCCUCCUCAGGCAGUGCGUCAAAUGGAGAUGGUGUCGACGAGCGUGCUACGAAUCCAGUGGACGAUACAAGGAAGGCCAAAACUUGCUGCUGCUUCCUUCGUUGGCGAUGUUCUUGUCAACGUAACGUCGACUUUCACUCUCAACCAGAUCAGUGGCCAGGUUCUGGAGCACCGAGAGGAGUGGGACCUCUCCGGCAACUCUCCUCUGGCUCAGGCAUACUUUUGGCUCUCCAGGAUUGCGUACUCCACAGUCGAAGCUGGCAAGGAUACGUCGGAGUUAGUCCAAGGGGUAUCCAAGGUUAUUGACAAGAACUUGGGCGAUGACAGCAGCAUUUACGUCGAUCCAACCGAUCCAAAGAAGGUCUGGUUGUUUCUCUUUUCUCAUAGAAAUAGUUUAUAUCGAUCUUCACGACUUGGCAAAUUGCCGUUUGCAGUUCUUCCAAGUGGAUGAUAAUCGCCAAAAGGACAUUUACCAAGUUGGCCUGGUGCUUGCGCUGCUCUACCUCCUUGUCCAGUUCUUAAAACUCACGCUUUGACCAUAAACCGGUAAGACAAGCGGGUUGUAAAACGGGUCUUACAAGCACUUGUGUUUUGGCAGAACUUGAUUGUAUAGAACCGUUUUGACUGCGCAAGCGACUUGUAAAAUGCCUUCGUACACUACAGAUAGUAACAGGAUUAUCGUCUUAAACACGUUCUUCUUUGUUUUCUUUGUUUUUUUCUGUUUUCUCCUUUUUUUUUCUUCUCUUGAGCCUUCCGUGGCGUGUUCGCCAGGUACUGCUAGUUUCUUCUUUUCUUUCGUUGUAAAGUUCUUCACAUUUUGUAGCUGGCAAAAUCGUGAUCCUCGCCCCUUCCUCGCAUCCUUCCGGUUAGUAGUGCUUAACAAAUCGAAGUCUCGUCUCUGACACACGCACAAUAUAACAGCCAUCAGGUUUGGAUUGAUAGAUUAAUUCCAUGGCAGAUCACAAGCUGGUUUCUAAGUUCCAGAAGGCCCUCCGCGGAUACCAAAAGCUACGACUCAUCGAGAGUGAAGAUCCAGCAAUCACUCACAUUCGCAACCACCUCCUCAGUGACGACUAUGAUUACUACGGCGAUGAGCAGCAGCAAUUGACAGAGCAAUCAAGGAUUUUCUAUCAGCGCUUCCUAGAGGAUCUCACGAGAAUCGUCCAAGCCUCUUCUCCUCCUCCUCCUCCGCCCUCUUCUGCCAGUGUGAGCAUCACAAAAGAGACGAUAGGAAAUUUUCCUUUUGAUGCAAGGCUGGCAAAAGACUCUAUCGCAAGUAACAAUGCCUAUUAUCUCUACAGGCGUUGAUAGAAGUAAUUUGGCUUUUUUGGUAGAACACCAGCAAAAACAUUGUGAGAGCUCUGAUAUAAUAGUUUAUAAAAAGGGGUAGAAGUUUUAAGGCUUUGCCAUUUCAUUAUACUUAGUGGGAGAUAAAAAAUGGUCGUUUCAUACUUGCCAACAGUUAUGUAUGCUAAAAAUUGGCAAUGACUGGAAAAUAUUCAUAAGGUAUUCUCCCUCUUAUGCAUGGAUCAAUGAUUAUUUGAAAGAUGAAGUGAAGGAUGUUACUUUAUAAUGUGGCCAGCAACAAGUUCAACAUGAUAAUAAAUAUUAUUUGAUCCAACCUUUCCUGCUUAGCUGUAUGUUUAAAUAAAGUUCAGAGGUGUGUUUUAAGUCAGUAGUAAUGCUGACAUUUGUGUAAGAUGCGGUGCUUUUUACCUCCUAGAUUAUAGCAGUUAAAAGCACUGAAGGGUUUAUAAAAAAGCAAUAAGAAGAUUCGUACCAAGUGUGAAUAUGUCACAUGAGUAUAGACAAACUUUUAAUUUCUAUCUGAACAUGAAUUCUGACUUAGAGGCGUUCAAUCAUAAUCCCACACAUGGUGCAUAUACUAAACAUGACCCAAGAUUUUCAUUAACAUGAAUGGUAUAUCUUAAGGAAUAGAGCUCUGAGGUGGCCAUUGCUGGCUUGUCUUGUAGAGCAUUGUAAGAUAGUUUCCACAUCUAUACGAUUGAAGAGGCCUAAAAAAUGUAGUGACAAUUUUGUAUCAAAUUUAAGAAUUAAACUACAUAAUCUUUUUUGCACCAGUUAUUCCAAAUGCUUAGGUAUGUUAAGCUAGACAGCAGCUUUCUUGACAAGCUCUUGCUCAAGAGGAGCCAUCUAAAGAGGAUUCACACUUCAAAUUCUUUUUCAAUCUCUUUAGGCAAUUCUUCC